GUGCCAGCCGCCGGGUAAUACGGAGGGUGCAAGCGUUAAUCGGAAUUACUGGGCGUAAAGCGCACGCAGGCGGUCUGACAAGUCGGAUGUGAAAUCCCCGGGCUCAACCCGGGAACUGCAUUCGAAACUGUCAGGCUGGAGUCUUGUAGAGGGGUAGAAUUCCAGGUGUAGCGGUGAAAUGCGUAGAGAUCUGGAGGAAUACCGGUGGCGAAGGCGGCCCCCUGGACAAAGACUGACGCUCAGGUGCGAAAGCGUGGGAGCAAACAGGAUUAGAUACCCUGGUAGUCCACGCCGUAAACGAUGUCUAUUUGGAGGUUGUGCCCUUGAGGCGUGGCUUCCGGAGCUAACGCGUUAAAUGACCGCCGUGGGGAGUACGGCCGCAAGGUUAAACUCGAAAUGAA
rnacentral:rRNA from 1 species